UAACACACCUCCAGCUACAGGCACCUCCUCUCCUCCGGACCUCGUCAAAAAGGUUUCGCAGCCCGAAACGACAUACACGCACUCAAGUGCAUUCCAUCAAUCACCGCCCCGACACGCUCGCCUUGCCAUGUCGUCCGAGGUUGCGAUUCAGCUGACGCCGUACCCGGCGGCGUUCAUCGUUGAGCACGCCAAGCGCAAGAAGUACGCUGCGGGCUACAUACUCGGCACUGUCAGGGCGGAGGAGAUCGUCAUCACGGACUUCAUUCCGCACACGCACAAGGAUACGGAGGUUCCGAACACGAAGGCCCAUCGCGCAGAGCUGACGCGCCGGCGCGCCGCCAAGCGCCGCUACACGACGCAGGACCUCAUAGGCUGGUACUCGGCGGGGCAGCCUGGUGCGGACCUGACCGAGGAGGACUACCAGCUGUGGUGCAACGCGCCGUCUGUCAUUUUCCAGGGUCGCCACUGCCUUCACCUGCACUGCGAGAUGCCCCACGAAGACGGGACGACGCCGAAGGUGGCGUGGACGGCCUCCGUCGUUUUCGAGGACCCUGCAGAUCGAACGCUGAAGCACAUCGACCACCGGGUCACCCUCGCCCCCAUGAACAACCUUGCCUCGGAUGUGAUGCUGAGCCACAUCACCUCCCUUGUCCUUUACAACGGUGGUCGCCCCUUCCCUCGUAGCAAGCUGCAGAACCUCGACGAGGUGGCGUACGUGGCCUCCAUCGACCACAAGUCCUCGACGGAUGCCGUGGACGAGGAGCAGCGCCGUCUGGAGCGCGCGGUGGCGGCGGCGCAGGAGAUCGUGGCCGGCGGCAGCGGAGGUGGCAAGGAAGAGCAUGAGAUGAUGACCGCCGUCGAGAACUUCCGCGCGAUUCGCGACGAGGCACUGAAGCGCCAGCGUGACCAGACUGGUCGCAUGGACUUCAACUCGCAGCAGUUCAAGGACGCCCUCAUGAUCAAGUGUGCUGCCACGAUCCUGCGCAGGGAGAUCGACCAGAUCGAGCAUCUCUCCACCGUGUACGGCGAAGAUGCCGCUCGCCGCGGCAAUGCCACCGGCGGUGAGAACAACGAGAAGCAGCAGCAACCGGAGAAGCAGCAGCAGUAGAAAGGGGGGUUGCGCCGCUCUAUGUGUAAGAGCGAAAGAAUGAGCAAAAGGGAACCAGUCUGGGCUGAAUGCACCGUUGAGGCGAAGCUGCGCGCGAAGGGGAUAAUCGAGCAGCAGCGCAGACCACAGCGCAACUCCCUUUCCUCUUUCUAGCUGCCUGAAAGUGUGGUUGUGUCGGUGUAUCGGUGUGGUUGCGUAUGUGGGGGGGGGGGGAGGGAGGGGAAGAAGGGGCAUGGAGGUUUGGGAGGGGAGGGGUUUGCAGCGGAGAAAGCGAUGCUGGAGACGGCGCGUUCCUUGCCAUCUUGCCCCCCCCCCGCCACCACCCUCCCCCUCCGCCCCCCACUGCACAGCGCGUAUGCGGGUGGUCGUUCGCUGUCGCCUUCGUUUCGCUUUGUUUUUGCGCGCUCCCCCGCGGCCCCUCUCUCGUUAUCUCUCUCCUGUUUAAUGAGCUAAGUAAGUCCCCGUCAUGGGUUGCGUGCGUGUGCGUCUGUGGGCGUGUGUAUGUGCGUGUGUCUCGCUCUUCGUUCCUUUGUUUUGUUUCGGCGUGCGUUGGUAAGUCGAAGUCGAUGGACUUUCAUUCUGCAUCU
rnacentral:misc_RNA from 1 species